GAUCAUGGCUCAGGAUGAACGCUGGCGGCGUGCUUAACACAUGCAAGUCGAACGGAGAGCUCAUGACAGAGGAUUCGUCCAAUGGAAUGAGUUUCUUAGUGGCGGACGGGUGAGUAACGCGUGAGGAACCUGCCUCGGAGUGGGGAAUAACAGUCCGAAAGGACUGCUAAUACCGCAUAAUGCAGUUGAGUCGCAUGGCUCUAACUGCCAAAGAUUUAUCGCU
rnacentral:rRNA from 1 species